rnacentral:piRNA from 1 species
CCAGGGACCUGCCUGUUUCAUCUUUACCCCA